CUUCAGGGACCCCAGCCAGAGCGGGUUGCCCGGGUCCCGGUCCUGCCCGUAGGUGGCCAGCAGCGCCUGUGCCUC
rnacentral:antisense_RNA from 1 species